GGGUUGUGAGGUUAAGCGACUAAGCGUACACGGUGGAUGCCCUGGCAGUCAGAGGCGAUGAAGGGCGUGCUAAUCUGCGAUAAGCGCCGGUAAGGUGAUAUGAACCGUUAUAACCGGCGAUACCCGAAUGGGGAAACCCAGUGUGAUUCGUCACACUAUCAUUAACUGAAUCCAUAGGUUAAUGAGGCGAACCGGGGGAACUGAAACAUCUAAGUACCCCGAGGAAAAGAAAUCAACCGAGAUUCCCCCAGUAGCGGCGAGCGAACGGGGAGGAGCCCAGAGCCUGAAUCAGCAUGUGUGUUAGUGGAAGCGUCUGGAAAGGCGCGCGAUACAGGGUGACAGCCCCGUACACAAAAGCGCAUGUGCUGUGAGCUCGAUGAGUAGGGCGGGACACGUGGUAUCCUGUCUGAAUAUGGGGGGACCAUCCUCCAAGGCUAAAUACUCCUGACUGACCGAUAGUGAACCAGUACCGUGAGGG
rnacentral:rRNA from 3 species